AGUGAACGCUGGCGGUAGGCCUAACACAUGCAAGUCGAACGGCAGCACAGUAAGAGCUUGCUCUUACGGGUGGCGAGUGGCGGACGGGUGAGGAAUACAUCGGAAUCUACUUUUUCGUGGGGGAUAACGUAGGGAAACUUACGCUAAUACCGCAUACGACCUACGGGUGAAAGCAGGGGAUCUUCGGGCCUUGCGCGAUUGAAUGAGCCGAUGUCGGAUUAGCUAGUUGGCGGGGUAAAGGCCCACCAAGGCGACGAUCCGUAGCUGGUCUGAGAGGAUGAUCAGCCACACUGGAACUGAGACACGGUCCAGACUCCUACGGGAGGCAGCAGUGGGGAAUAUUGGACAAUGGGCGCAAGCCUGAUCCAGCCAUACCGCGUGGGUGAAGAAGGCCUUCGGGUUGUAAAGCCCUUUUGUUGGGAAAGAAAAGCAGCAGGUUAAUACCCCGCUGUUCUGACGGUACCCAAAGAAUAAGCACCGGCUAACUUCAUG
rnacentral:rRNA from 1 species